rnacentral:rRNA from 1 species
CACAUGCAAGUCGAACGAGAAACUCCGGGCUUGCUCGGAGGAGUAAAGUGGCGCACGGGUGAGUAACGCGUGGGUAACCUGCCCCAGAAUCUGGGAUAACAUCGCGAAAGCGUUGCUAAUACCGGAUAUCGUCCUUAAAACUGUGGUUUUUUGGGAUGAAAGAUGACCUCUCCUCGGAAGUUGUCGUUCAGGGAGGGGCCCGCGUACCAUUAGCUUGUUGGUAGGGUAAUGGCCUACCAAGGCUACGAUGGUUAGCUGGUCUGAGAGGAUGAUCAGCCACACUGGAACUGAAACACGGUCCAGACUCCUACGGGAGGCAGCAGUGAGGAAUUUUGCGCAAUGGGGGAAACCCUGACGCAGCAACGCCGUGUGAGUGAAGAAGGCCUUCGGGUCGUAAAGCUCUGUCAAGGGGGAAAAAAUCCUUUCGAUCAAUAGUCAUUAAGGACUGAUGGUACCCCUAGAGGAAGCACCGGCUAACUCCGUG